rnacentral:pre_miRNA from 1 species
UGAAAGACAUGGGUAGUGAGAUGCUGCCAAAUUCUCUGGUAUCUUACUACAAUGUCUUUUGAC